UUGAUAAAGAGUUUGAUCCUGGCUCAGGACGAACGCUGGCGGCGCGCCUAACACAUGCAAGUCGAACGGACACAUCCGACGGAAUAGCUUGCUAGGAAGAUGGAUGUUGUUAGUGGCGGACGGGUGAGUAACACGUGAGCAACCUGCCUCGGAGUGGGGGACAACAGUUGGAAACGACUGCUAAUACCGCAUACGGUGGUCGGGGGACAUCCCCUGACCAAGAAAGGAUUUAUAUCCGCUCUGAGAUGGGCUCGCGUCUGAUUAGCUAGUUGGCGGGGUAACGGCCCACCAAGGCAACGAUCAGUAGCCGGACUGAGAGGUUGAACGGCCACAUUGGGACUGAGACACGGCCCAGACUCCUACGGGAGGCAGCAGUGGGGAAUAUUGCACAAUGGGGGGAACCCUGAUGCAGCGACGCCGCGUGAGGGAAGAAGGUUUUCGGAUUGUAAACCUCUGUCUUGUGGGACGAUAAUGACGGUACCACAGGAGGAAGCCAUGGCUAACUACGUGCCAGCAGCCGCGGUAAUACGUAGAUGGCGAGCGUUGUCCGGAAUUACUGGGUGUAAAGGGAGUGUAGGCGGGAUCAUAAGUUGCGUGUGAAAUGCAGGGGCUCAACCCCUGAACUGCGCGCAAAACUGUGGUUCUUGAGUGAAGUAGAGGCAGGCGGAAUUCCCGGUGUAGCGGUGGAAUGCGUAGAUAUCGGGAGGAACACCAGUGGCGAAGGCGGCCUGCUGGGCUUUUACUGACGCUGAGGCUCGAAAGCAUGGGGAGCAAACAGGAUUAGAUACCCUGGUAGUCCAUGCCGUAAACGAUGAUUACUAGGUGUGGGGGGAUAACCCCCUCCGUGCCGGAGUUAACACAAUAAGUAAUCCACCUGGGGAGUACGAC
rnacentral:rRNA from 1 species